rnacentral:rRNA from 1 species
AACGAACGCUGGCGGCGGGCUUAACACAUGCAAGUCGAACGCCCCGCAAGGGGAGUGGCAGACGGGUGAGUAACGCGUGGGAACAUACCCUUUCCUGCGGAAUAGCUCUGGGAAACUGGAAUUAAUACCGCAUACGCCCUACGGGGGAAAGAUUUAUCGGGGAAGGAUGGGCGCGCGUUGGAUUAGCUAGUUGGUGGGGUAAAGGCCUACCAAGGCGACGACCCAUAGCUGGUCUGAGAGGAUGAUCAGCCACAUUGGGACUGAGACACGGCCCAAACUCCUACGGGAGGCAGCAGUGGGGAAUAUUGGACAAUGGGCGCAAGCCUGAUCCAGCCAUGCCGCGUGAGUGAUGAAGGCCUUAGGGUUGUAAAGCUCUUUCACCGAUGAAGAUAAUGACGGUAGUCGGAGAAGAAGCCCCGGCUAACUUCGUGCCAGCCGCCGCCGUAAGAC